CAGAGCAGCAGCCAUAGCAGCUGCAUCCGGUUUCCAGUUGAGCGAGAGACAGCUGUUCUGAGGCAGUAUGCAAUGUCCCACAUCUGAGGACUUGGCAGCGUGAGCCUUGGGACACUGAGGAGAUGGGGAGAGGCCCCUGGAGCUUGCUGGCCUGCCUGUUCAGCCUAGGUGGCAAGUCCCAGGACUCACUGACAGACUUUGCUCCAAAACACCGAAUGAGUGACUUCUGAAGAAUGACGCCUGAGCUGACUCCUGGCUUCCACAGAUAGGCACAUCUGUAACAUAUGACUGGGAGGAAGAUGUGGUCUCGUCCCCACUGAUGUGGUGUGAGCUGGAGAAAUUUGGCUGCUCACCAGAUGGGGUGUUCUGAAAGAAAGCUUCUUAGCACUUGGAUGCCACUGAAGAGCUAGCCAACUUUGAUUGACAGCUGGCAACCAUUGCUAGGUGAACCUAGCAAUCACAGCCAACAUUUUGUGGAAAGUUGCUACGUAAAAUUGAACUUUGAACACACUGCAUCUUUGGAGCUGGUUCAUGAAGACAGGAGCUCCCUGAUUCGGUCCAUUCCUUUGUGUUCGCCUGCCCGUGUGUGAAGAGGACAUAAUUACACCUGCUCCUCAUUUGCCUCAGAGGAAUGUUACAGAAAUACAUUUCAAGAGCCCAUGAAGUCCCCAGAGCAUGGAGAAGUCUAAUUACAAGAAAACACAUUGUCGCCAGAACAGUUCUGCAAAUUCUGUCAAAGGACAGAAACGUCCGUUUCCUGAAAAUUGCUAAAAUAGCAUCAGCAGUGUGGAACAGCAAGGGAAAGCACAGUGACCAUGUGCAAACCGGAAGUGCAGCGUGGGAUGGUUUCUGCUUCCUGUAGCACUCCAGAACCACAGGCAUCUGUGCGCUGUCUUCCCCAGACCAGCCUUCAGCAACCUGGAAACCUAGUAGAAAUGCAAAGCAGAAACGGAUGCAAGCAAUGAUGGCUGGAUUGUCACAAUCACCUUGGACCAUGACAACAAGUAUUUAGUCCAGAUCUGAUAGAACAAAAAGCUACAAUGAGCUUAGAGCUUAGGUCCCUGGUGACUGCAGGAACCUGCACCCUGAGCUUUGGACUACCCACCCCCCAAUGGGUGACAGAAUAAAACCCGGGUGUUUAAUUUA